CUCCUUCCCAUUGCCUAGGAGGACAGACAAGUUCUCUCACAAUUUACUGGAAAGAGCAACUCAGCUUACUGCAGUACCAAGAACUAUGGGAUAUGUCCCCCAAACUCCUGAUGACCCAUUGGUGAGUGCAGCACCAGUGAGGACACAUUAGCUCAGGGCUCUGAAGAACAGCGCCCAUGACGCAAACAUCCCACUCUAUGCACCCUGUUCCAGUAUGAGCUGUCCUGAUGAUGCGUCAGUCACUGUAGUAAGCAUGAGUUAGCACAUGGAGUGCGAACAGAAUACAGCUCGCAUCUGAGAAUGUGAAAAUACAUUUCCUUUUUGUCCCCAGAAUCAAACUGCCUGGGAAAUCAGCAUUCCAUGAAGUGAAUGAACAAACAGCUUAUAGAAGGACGGAAUCUGUUUAUCAUCAGAACACUGGGCUCUCUGUUUUUAUUUAUAGCAUGUUACCAACUAAAGUUCCUUUUUGCUUAGCUACUGCAUGAAUGAAGACAGUUUUUUAAUAUUAGUAAAUAA